GCCGAGGUGGUGGAAUUGGUAGACACGCCAUCUUGAGGGGGUGGUGAGCGUAAGCUCGUAGGAGUUCAAAUCUCCUCCUCGGCACCA
rnacentral:tRNA from 1 species